GCGUCGGUGGUGCAACGGUUAGCAAACGCGCCCGUAAAGAGAGAGUUCUGGGUUCAAAACCCGUCUGACGCA